rnacentral:rRNA from 1 species
UACGAAGGGGGCUAGCGUUGUUCGGAAUUACUGGGCGUAAAGCGCGCGCAGGCGGUUCUUCAAGUCAGAGGUGAAAGCCCAGAGCUCAACUCUGGAAUGGCCUUUGAGACUAGAGAACUAGGGUACGGGAGAGGUGAGUGGAACUGCGAGUGUAGAGGUGAAAUUCGUAGAUAUUCGCAAGAACACCAGUGGCGAAGGCGGCUCACUGGCCCGGUACUGACGCUGAGGUGCGAAAGCGUGGGGAGCAAACAGG